rnacentral:lncRNA from 1 species
UUUUGGGUUGUUUGUGAAACCAUCUUAGCCUAUACCGUGUCUACACAGGUCGAGAUGUUUCCAUUUGGACAGAUACGUCGUCUUUUGUGGUGAUAAAGUACGGUAGUUCAGAGCAAAGAGACAGUUACACGUUUGCAUCCGAAGAGAAUCACUGAGGACUGUGUGACUGGCUGCCAUGGACGAGCAUCAAGCUGAAUACUCCAAAACAAGACAAAUGAAAAAGAGGACAAGCGUUCCAGUUCUACCACCAGACCCAAGAAAGCAGCACAACAGCAAAACAUCGCACAGGACUGACAGCCAGCUCAGCUUAAAUCGAGCCACUGCAUCAGAAACAGAGCGGGAGGUGUGCAGUUAUGUGAGACUGAACAUGCAGAACCAGAGUGGCAAAGAUUACUGGCACCGUCACAGACUCAGCGAUCACCAUGACAACAACACAGAUGAAGAUGACUAUGCCGUUCCGGAGGAAGACUACGACGACGGGAUAGUGCACAUUCAGCCAGCGAAACACUGCCCCACUAACACGGAGUAUGCAGACCGGAGACCAGACCACAGACCACUCCCCUGUGUUCCAGUCAGAGGAGAUGACAAAUUCAACACUCCCCCAAGGCCUCCAAAGAGGGUGAUCCCAGGACCCGCAGUUAACAGAGCAUGCAAGCCAGGCAGAGAGGCCAAAACUAAGACAGAAGGGUUCCCUAAGAGCAGAGCUCCUGAGACCAAUCAGGUAGAACGCAAAAUGCAUUUGUUUUCAUUGGGCCUGCCCUGGACACAGAAUUGUAAAAUAUUUAAAACGCAAAAGGUUUCAAUAUUGAGUUUCAUUAUUUGCUCUAUCUGCAUAUUUUCUAGAAUCUAA